rnacentral:rRNA from 1 species
UACGUAGGGUGCAAGCGUUGUUCGGAAUCACUGGGCGUAAAGGGCGCGUAGGCGGCUUUAUAAGUCGGGGGUGAAAGCCUGUGGCUCAACCACAGAAUUGCCUUCGAUACUGUAGAGCUUGAGACCGGAAGAGGUAAGUGGAACUGCGAGUGUAGAGGUGAAAUUCGUAGAUAUUCGCAAGAACACCAGUGGCGAAGGCGGCUUACUGGUCCGGUUCUGACGCUGAGGCGCGAAAGCGUGGGGAGCAAACAGG